rnacentral:misc_RNA from 1 species
GGGUGCUUGAGGUGGCUGAGAACAUUGAUUUCCUGUUCUAGCUGCCUUAUAGACUCAGCAGAUUUUGGGUCAUCUGGUAAUAAUUCAACUUCUUUCAAUGCAGACAAAGCUCCUGUCUCUCUGUUUGAUGCUACGUAAACACUUCCAAAUGUCCCACGUCCAAUAAGCUUUCCUUUUUUCCACUGGCCUUUAAUAGGUGAUAUAUCUGCUUUAGGGGUAGGUGGUGAAACGGGAUGGGUAGCUAGAGGAGGAAGGGGUAAAGGAUGGACAUUUCCUUGAGCGCAAUUCUCACGACGCGUCAUUGGGCACUGAUCAUUUGGUAGUGGAUGAUGUAAAGGUGAAAUAGAUCCACUUGGACUCCUGGAUCUUCUCUGAGGACUUAAUCUUGGACUGUGAAGAG